rnacentral:rRNA from 1 species
UACGUAGGGUGCAAGCGUUGUCCGGAAUUAUUGGGCGUAAAGAGCUCGUAGGCGGUCUGUCGCGUCGGCUGUGAAAACCCGGGGCUCAACCCCGGGCCUGCAGUCGAUACGGGCAGACUAGAGUGCGGUAGGGGAGACUGGAAUUCCUGGUGUAGCGGUGAAAUGCGCAGAUAUCAGGAGGAACACCGGUGGCGAAGGCGGGUCUCUGGGCCGUAACUGACGCUGAGGCGCGAAAGCGUGGGUAGCAAACAGG